AUUGAACGCUGGCGGCAGGCCUAACACAUGCAGGUCGAGCGGAUGACGGGAGCUUGCUCCUUGAUUCAGCGGCGGACGGGUGAGUAAUGCCUAGGAAUCUGCCUGGUAGUGGGGGACAACGUUUCGAAAGGAACGCUAAUACCGCAUAUGUCCUACGGGAGAAAGCAGGGGACCUUCGGGCCUUGCGCUAUCAGAUGAGCCUAGGUCGGAUUAGCUAGUUGGUGGGGUAAUGGCUCACCAAGGCGACGAUCCGUAACUGGUCUGAGAGGAUGAUCAGUCACACUGGAACUGAGACACGGUCCAGACUCCCACGGGAGGCAGCAGUGGGGAAUAUUGGACAAUGGGCGAAAGCCUGAUCCAGCCAUGCCGCGUGUGUGAAGAAGGUCUUCGGAUUGUAAAGCACUUUAAGUUGGGAGGAAGGGCAGUAAGUUAAUACCUUGCUAUUUUGACGUUACCGACAGAAUAAGCACCGGCUAACUCUGUGCCAGCAGCCGCCGUAA
rnacentral:rRNA from 1 species